UGACCAUAUCACAUUAAAACAUCGGUUUCUGUACGAUCACCGAUGUUAAGCAACAUCGAGCCUGGUCAGUACCUAGAUGGGUAACCGCUUGUGAACACCAAUUGC
rnacentral:rRNA from 1 species